CGCUACCAGUGAGCGGUUGCCAGCGCUAUUAGUUUCCGCAGUGACACAAGCGACGCUACAGUGAAUUCAUUUGUGUUAUGAGGUACGCUCACGGUUUUAUUUUCCCGUUAACUGGAUAAGAAAUGACUUUGUGUCGGUGACCAUAAAAUCGAGUGAACGCCGUAGUGUUCAUACCCGAUGUUGUAUUAUCGUAGUUUUGCCACGCCAACAUCGUCUGUGUUACUCGUGCGCAAUUUUCCGUUCGUAGUGCACUGAAAAAAACAUUGGUCAAGAUGUUCGCUAUCGACCUGACAGGAACAGAAACAAGCCUUCAAUUAACAUCUUAAGAGGAAUAUAAUAGACACCCGUCGGAGCUAAAGCCACCAAUAGCAUGGCUGUUUGAUUUCCAGACAACAAUGCCGUCAAGAACUUCAUAAAUGAAGAGGAUUGGACUCGGCCAUUGGAGUUACAGACAAGAGUGGCGUGGCUGACAAAUGAACAACCAACAGAGACCUGACCGUCAGAGAUACCAGACACAGUCAAGCUGUGUUCCUGAAUACGCGUCGUUGUCUGCUAGUCUGUAGGUGUGAAGGCGCGCCAGCCACCCACAAGAGCAGUUCUCUCAUCCGAAUUUGGGUGUCGCUAACGAACCGAGGCGGCUGAUAUCGCAACCAACAGAGGCAUUGGAAGGAAGAAUAAGGGAAGGAAUCGAUGAGGAAAGUAGAAGAAAUCGGAGAAGGAAGGAGCAGAGAAAUAAUUCAUUUUAAGAAGAGGGUGUGAAAACCAGGUCGAUCAAGAGGAAAAAGUAGGAAGUCAGUGAAGAAGAGAAACAGAAUGGUGUGAAAAUUAACAACGAAACGUGCCGAACAGUGCAGUGUGUCGGAGAAUUACGGAGAAAUGUGACUGAGCACAAUGUUUUUCGACGAGAAGUUUGCAGCUUUGGAUAGCGAAGAAAUUGAGAAAUUAGUUCGAGUUCUAUAACAUUCAU